AGUUUGUGAUUGGGAUAAACUAUCACGGUCCAAUUUAUGAGUCAUGAUGUCACCUACUUUAUCCCACCAGUAGGUAAGCCAAUCCGUAGUUCAGAGAAUAAUCAAUGGGCUAAUUUGGUGGAAAAAGGCGUAAAAGCUGAAAAUUUACAAGUAAAGACUUACAAUAAUAAUAAGGCAAAAAUAAUAGUCAAGAAGAUAGAUAAAACAUUAAUAACCGUCCCAUGACCUAGUAGUGUUG
rnacentral:lncRNA from 1 species